rnacentral:rRNA from 1 species
UGACCUCAAAUCAGGUAGGACUACCCGCUGAACUUAAGCAUAUCAAUAAGCGGAGGAAAAGAAACUAACAAGGAUUCCCCUAGUAACUGCGAGUGAAGCGGGAAAAGCUCAAAUUUAAAAUCUGGCAGUCUUUUGGCUGUCCGAGUUGUAAUCUAGAGAAGUGUUAUCCGCGCUGGACCGUGUACAAGUCUCCUGGAAUGGAGCAUCAUAGAGGGUGAGAAUCCCGUCUUUGACAUGGACUGCCAGGGCUUUUGUGAUGCGCUCUCAAAGAGUCGAGUUGUUUGGGAAUGCAGCUCAAAAUGGGUGGUAAAUUCCAUCUAAAGCUAAAUAUUGGCGAGAGACCGAUAGCGAACAAGUACCGUGAGGGAAAGAUGAAAAGAACUUUGGAAAGAGAGUUAAACAGUACGUGAAAUUGCUGAAAGGGAAACGCUUGAAGUCAGUCGCGUCGUCCAGGGAUCAACCUUGCUUUUGCUUGGUGCACUUUCUGGUUUGACGGGUCAGCAUCAAUUUUGAUCAUAUAUUGGAGAAAGAUCGAGGGAAUGUGGCAUCCUCGGAUGUGUUUAUAGCCCUUGGUCACAUACAAUGGUUGGGAUUGAGGAACUCAGCACGCCGCAAGGCCGGGUGUCUACACCACGUACGUGCUUAGGAUGC